rnacentral:rRNA from 1 species
CAUAUCCAAAAGCGGAGGAAAAGAAACCAACAGGGAUUGCCUUAGUAACGGCGAGUGAAGCGGCAAAAGCUCAAAUUUGAAAUCUGGCACCUUCGGUGUCCGAGUUGUAAUUUGAAGAAGGUAACUUUGGAGUUGGCUCUUGUCUAUGUUCCUUGGAACAGGACGUCACAGAGGGUGAGAAUCCCGUGCGAUGAGAUGCCCAAUUCUAUGUAAAGUGCUUUCGAAGAGUCGAGUUGUUUGGGAAUGCAGCUCUAAGUGGGUGGUAAAUUCCAUCUAAAGCUAAAUAUUGGCGAGAGACCGAUAGCGAACAAGUACAGUGAUGGAAAGAUGAAAAGAACUUUGAAAAGAGAGUGAAAAAGUACGUGAAAUUGUUGAAAGGGAAGGGCUUGAGAUCAGACUUGGUAUUUUGCGAUCCUUUCCUUCUUGGUUGGGUUCCUCGCAGCUUACUGGGCCAGCAUCGGUUUGGAUGGUAGGAUAAUGACUAAGGAAUGUGGCUCUACUUCGGUGGAGUGUUAUAGCCUUGGUUGAUACUGCCUGUCUAGACCGAGGACUGCGUCUUUUGACUAGGAUGUUGGCAUAAUGAUCUUAAGCCACCCGUCUUGAAACCACGGACCA